UCAAUGAAAAGGCAAACUUAUCGAAAGAUAAGGACGCAAAGCCAUGUGUCUAAAGAAUUUAAUUCUAUGAUCGACAGGCUGCCAUA
rnacentral:ncRNA from 1 species